AUGCUGAUUACUAGCCUGCUGGGGGCAGCCAUUGCUUCUUUCUGUCUUGGAACCAGCAUGGCCCAGAAGGUAACUCAAGCUCAAACUUCAGUUUGGGUGGUGGAAAAGGAAGCUGUGACUCUCGACUGUUUGUAUGAGACUGGGGAAUCCUAUUACUCCAUCUUCUGGUACAAACAGCCACUAGCAGGGAAAUUGAUUUUGCUUGUUCGUCAGAACUCUUAUGAUAAGCAAAAUGCAACAGAGGAUCAUUAUUUCCUGAACUUCCAGAAAUCAUCCAGAUAUAUCAACCUCACCAUCACAGGCACACAGCUGGAGGACUCAGCUGUGUAUUUUUGUGCACUCAUAGAGCCCACAGUGAGAGGAGAGCCUUCAGGUGCCUUACAUAAACCUCAGCCAGAGCAAGAGACCCAGGGAGAGAAGCAGGUCUGUGGACACAGUCUCAGCAGGAACAAGGACAAGAAGACAAAAAAGCUCAACUACUCCACUUUCCUGGUGACAGUACUUCAUAAAGUUAUGUUUUCCUUAUUCACUUUGCCAGCAGUGUUGACAGCAUCUUUGCUGUUUGGGAAUCCAAGGAACAUUGCCUUUGAUCUAUUUGUGUCUUAUGUUGAGGUUCUUGGCAUGUUAGCAGCAAUAGUGAACCCCAAUAAGAGAGUAAUUCAGAGAUAG